rnacentral:rRNA from 1 species
GACGGAGGAUGCAAGCGUUAUCCGGAAUGAUUGGGCGUAAAGCGUCCGCAGGUGGCAGCUCAAGUCUGCUGUCAAAGACCGGGGCUUAACUUCGGAAAGGCAGUGGAAACUGAACAGCUAGAGUAUGGUAGGGGCAGAGGGAAUUCCUGGUGUAGCGGUGAAAUGCGCAGAUAUCAGGAAGAACACCCGUGGCGAAAGCGGCUCUCUGGAACGGUACUGACGCUGAGACGCGAAAGCGUGGGGAGCGAACAGG